rnacentral:lncRNA from 1 species
AAUUAUGAUAAAAUUAGAUUUAGAUAUCCGUCAAGAUAUUAUAAAUAUAAUUUAAAAUGAAUAAAGUACAACAAUACAAAGAAUUAAAACAAAUUAUUUCUGAAAAACGUAAAGAAUUAAAAAUAAGAAUAAAAAAACUACAUUAUAAUAUAUUUGCCGGAGUUAGUAAAAACUCAAUAGAUACACAAAAAGAUGAAAUAUCAAAAUUAGAAUCACAAAUAGAUAGUUUAAAAUAUAUAUAUCAACAUGAACUAUUCACAAUAAAAUGAACAAAGAAGAAUUUAUAAUAGAUGAAAAAAUAUAUGAAAACCACGAAGGAU